UACGUAGGGACCAAGCGUUGUUCGGAUUUACUGGGCGUAAAGGGCGCGUAGGCGGCGCGGUAAGUCACUUGUGAAAUCUCUGGGCUUAACUCAGAACGGUCAAGUGAUACUGCUGUGCUAGAGUGCGGAAGGGGCAAUCGGAAUUCUCGGUGUAGCGGUGAAAUGCGUAGAUAUCGAGAGGAACACCGGUGGCGAAGGCGGGUCUCUGGGCCGAAACUGACGCUGAGGAGCGAAAGCGUGGGGAGCAAACAGG
rnacentral:rRNA from 1 species